GUUACUGGUCUUUUUACUUUGCUUCCUCACCUCCCCCCACGUCUGACCUGUAAAGAUCCUGGUGUCCAGCCCCCGAUAAGAUGGUUCUUUCGAGGAGCUAGCCUGCUGUCUUCUCUGUCAGCUGGCUUUCCGGAUCGAGUCGGUUUCCUUGCCUCAACACCUGGUCCCGGAUUCACAGGCCUGUUGUGUGGCGAGCAGAGCGAGCUUGGCCUUGGGAACAGUGACUUUGGGGUGGGGAGGGGGACGGGGGGGGGGGGGGGGGGGGGGAGAGGGACGGGGUCCGCAGAGCCAGGCGCUCUGAGAGGUGAGAGUGGAGGGCUGCACGCAGGCGAGCCGAGCCAACGGGCCGCUCAGAGGACACGCCGACCCCCUCCCAGCGCUGCACCUCUUCGGCCUUCUCUCUCCCUCCAUCGCAAGGCUCCGACUCGAAGCAAGUGAACGAACCUGCCCACAAGCCCAGGACAAAGGCCCAGGAGCAGGUGGGCCGGACGUUCUCUGUGCAGCAAACAAGAUACAAACGAUCAUGGUUGAUUUCCGGGAGGACAAAACCUGUGACCUGGGGCCACUCGGGUUUGCUUAAGUGUCCAAUAACAGGUGAAACCGUUCUGACCUAAGACAAAACCCUUGCGGGUAAAAGUCUCUUGAGCCUCGGGGAAAAAGCACUUUCUAUUGAGAAAUAUGAGAAAUGCCUGAAAGGGUUUUGUGGGAAAACAGGUACAGGGAUCUGUUCCCACCUUUUCAUUCAGCGUGGUUCUGAGGGGGAAAAAAAGCCUCGUGGAAUAAUUAAAGCUUCACCAAUAUGCUUAUAUUUUAAGGUCUGAAGACCAUUAGACAGAGAUAGGGAGCUAUAGUUUUAGAGUGCGGCAUUCGUUGAUUUUGGGGUUGAGUGCCAGAG
rnacentral:lncRNA from 1 species